UACGGGGGGAGCAAGCGUUGUUCGGAUUUACUGGGCGUAAAGGGCGCGUAGGCGGCCACCGCAAGUCAAUUGUGAAAUCUCCGGGCUCAACCCGGAACGGUCAACUGAUACUGCGGGGCUAGAGUGCAGAAGGGGCAACUGGAAUUCUCGGUGUAGCGGUGAAAUGCGUAGAUAUCGAGGGGAACACCUGCGGCGAAGGCGGGUUGCUGGGCUGACACUGACGCUGACAGCGCGAAAGCUAGGGGAGCGAACGGG
rnacentral:rRNA from 1 species